AUUUAAUUGUUAUUUAUUAUUAUAAUCCCAAAAUAACCCCUCGGUUUGGGGUUGUGGUUUUGUAAUUCGGGAAAAGGAACUGGGAAACCUGGAGAGGGAGGGGAGGACGGGAAUGGUUUUGGGGUCAGGAAUGGGGUUUGGGGUCAGGAAUGGGGUUUGGGGUCAGGAAUGGUUUUUGGGGUCAGGAAUGUUUUUGGGGUCAGGAAUGUCAAUGGGGUUCAGGAAUGUUUUUUGGGGUCAGGAAUGGGUUUUGGGGUCAGGAAUUGUCUUUGGGGUCAGGAAUGGUUUUUGGGGUCAGGAAUGUUUUUGGGGUCAGGAAUGGUUUUGGGGGUCAGGAAUUGUUUUUGGGGUCAGGAAUUGUCUUUGGGGUCAGGAAUGGUUUUUGGGGUUGGGAAUGGUUUUGGGGGUCAGGAAUUGUUUUUGGGGUCAGGAAUGUUUUUGGGGUCAGGAAUGGUUUUUGGGGUCAGGAAUGGGUUUUUGGGGUCAGGAAUUGUCUUUGGGGUCUGGGAAUUUUUUUGGGGUCAGGAAUGUUUUUGGGGUCAGGAAUGUCAAUGGGGUUCAGGAAUGUUUUUUGGGGUCAGGAGUGUUUUUUGGGGUCAGGAAUGCUGGUGGACGUUGGGAAUCCCAGUGGUGCCAAGCAGGAAAGCCUUUUCUUCAUCGUUCCCACAUUCCAGCUGCUUUCGAGGAGUUUGGGAUCAGCCCCAAAUCCCUCUGGCUCCUCCCUGCCCUGCCACCAUUGCCAUUCCCACCCGGCCCAGGAACCCGUGGGUUCCUGUGGGAUUUUGGGAUGGUCACAGCACUGGGAAGUUCAGGUUCUGGGAUGUUCAGGCUCUGGGAUGUUCAGGCUCUGGGAUGUUCAGGUUCUGGGAUGUUCAGGCUCUGGGAUGUUCAGGCUCUGGGAUGUUCAGGUUCUGGGAUCGCAUUCCAACGCCUUUGGGAUGUUUGGGAUGAGCCCUGCAGGGUGGGAAUGCCCAAGGGAACGGGGAGCCCGGGAUGUGCAGUCCCCACCCAUGUCCAGCGGGUUCCUGUUGGAUUUUGGGAUGGUCACAGCAUGGAAUGUUCAGGCUCUGGGAUCGCAUUCCAAUGCAUUUCGGGAUGAGCCCUGCGGGGUGGGAACGCCAUGGGACGUCCAAAGGAACGUGCAGCCCCCAGGGAGAUCCGGUGGGAUUUUGGGAUGGUCACAGCACUGGGAAGUUCAGGUUCUGGGAAGUUCAGGCUCUGGGAUGUUCAGGCUCUGGGAAGUUCAGGUUCUGGGAUGUUCAGGUUCUGGGAUGUUCAGGUUCUGGGAUGUUCAGGUUCUGGGAUGUUCAGGCUCUGGGAUGUUCAGGUUCUGGGAUGUUCAGGCUCUGGGAUGUUCAGGCUCUGGGAUGUUCAGGCUCUGGGAUCACAUUCCAACGCCUUUGGGAUGUUUGGGAUGAGCCCUGAGGGUGGGAACACUGUGGGAACGUGCAGCCCCCAGGGCGAUCCGGUGGGAUUUUGGGAUGGGCACGGCAGUGGGACCUGCAGGUUCUGGGACGUUCAGGCUCUGGGAUUUUGGGCGGCCGGGACUCUGGGGCUCUGGAGCGACAUUCCGAGGCAUGGCGGGGUGCUGGGAUUCGGGAUCGGCGGCGUCGGGGAUCCUUCAAAGCGGCGCUUUCAAGUGCCGAGGGGAGAUGGUAUCAGCUGGGAAUGGGGAGCUGGCAGGGCCGGGCCCGCUCCCC
rnacentral:lncRNA from 1 species